CUACGGGAUGCUGCAGUGAGGAAUAUUGCACAAUGGAGGAAACUCUGAUGCAGCAACGCCGCGUGGAGGAUGACGCAUUUCGGUGUGUAAACUCCUUUUAUAUGUCAAGAAAAUGACGGUAGCAUAUGAAUAAGCACCGGCUAACUCCGUACCAGCAGCCGCGGUAAUACGGAGGGUGCAAGCGUUACUCGGAAUCGCUGGGCGUAAAGGACGCGUAGGCGGGAUAUCAAGUCAGGUGUGAAAUCCUACAGCUUAACUGUAGAACUGCACUUGAAACUGGUAACCUAGAGUAUGGGAGGGGGAGAUGGAAUUAGUGGUGUAGGGGUAAAAUCCGUAGAUAUCACUAGGAAUACCUAAAGCGAAGGCGAUCUCCUGGAACAUAACUGACGCUAAGGCGUGAAAGCGUGGGGAGCAAACAGGAUUAGAUACCCCGGUAGUC
rnacentral:rRNA from 1 species